rnacentral:snoRNA from 1 species
AGGACUACACUUUCAGGGAUCAUUUCUAUAGUUCAUUACCAGAGAGUUUCUCUGAACGCGUAGAGCACCGGAAACCACGAGGAGGAGGCACAGCAUCCUCCCCUGAGUGUGAAGCCGGCUCUUGGUGCUGCUACCGCCACUUGCCACUGACAAUCGUUCUCUCCUUUUUGGGGAGAGUAAGAGGGAGAGGACGCAGUCUGAGUGGU